ACUAUAGUAAAAAGCAUGUUCAUUGUUGUACAAUGAAUUUCAUAUUUCAUAUAGUUUUUGUGUGCUUGUCAUUUUUAAGUAAAUUGGGUAUUCAUAGUUGUAUUCUUAAAUUAGUAACUUUAAAGGCUUUAAUUUGCAGAUGGAGAAUUGUUAUCCAUUGGGGAAUUGACGGCUAUUCCCGGCUUGUGGUGUACUUAAAAGCUGCUACAAACAACAAGGCUCAAACAAUGCUGCAAAGCUUCCUGUCUGCUGUAGACCUACGUAUAUGGUGUUCCCUCUAGAGUGCGUUCUGAUAAGGGGGGAAGAUAAUGGUUGCCCGCUUCAUGACACGAACCAGAGGAAUAAACAGACAUUCACACAUUACAGGAAGAAGUGUACACAACCAGAGAAUUGAGCGGCUGUGGAGAGAUGUCUUUGACCAAGUAACAGACCUCUUCUAAACUACCUUUCGUCGGUUGGAAGAUGAAGGAUGGCUUAAUCCGGACCAGGAUGUGGACUUGUUUGCCUUGCACUGGUCUUACAUGCCUCAAAUUCAGAGGCAUCUACAAGAAUUUCGGAGUGCCUGGAAUUGUCACAGUUUAAGAUCUGAAGGCAACAGAACUCCUCUGCAGCUUUGGUCAAAUCGUGAGAGGGAUGACUUAAAUCGGAUUGACAUUGAUGAAGUCAGGGAAGACCUUCAAGGGCAACCAGCAGAAGGUGUUCAUGUUCCUGAGUUGGAUCUGCCUCGUGGCUUGACUGAAGAAGAGCUGGCAACACUAUCAAGCCCGGAUGUACCUUUGUCAGAAGCUUUAUCUGUCUACAUGGACACAGUUCUUGCUGUGAAACAAAUGCUUGGUGAAUCAUAGUCUUUUCUCUUAAAAAGGUUAAAAUACUUCAGGAAUGUAAAUUGUAUAUGUGCAUAUCAGACAGACAUGUUGUACCGUUGAACAGGAACUCAGACACAGAAACAUCUGAAAAAGCAUUUCAUUAAUUUUUUUAUGCUUAAACAUUUUAAACUUUUCGUGAAACAUUGUCAGUAUAGCCACUGUUAAAAUUGGUUGCAAGAUGGACAAAAUAAACAGUUAUGAAUCAAUUAUUAAUGUGUUCACAUGUUUUUAUUUUAGCUACUGCUUUAGCAAUAAACAAUUCCUGUGGUAUGAACUUGACUGGAUAAAAUGCAUUGUCGCUGAACAACUAACAUGCUGUCAAAAAACAACCAUAAUAUUUUUCAAACUUUUUAUUUAAACUCCACCCAAAUUAAAUUUACCUUAUUUACUCACCCUCAUGCCAUCCUAGGUGUACGUGACUUCUUCAGCUAAACACAAUUGGAGUAAUAACUAAACUUCUGGCUGUUCGUAGCUUUGUAAUGCCACUGAAUUGUGUUUUAUUUUUUGAGGAUAUCACAAAGCUAUGAAAUGCUAGAAUUUUAUUUAAUGUUACUCCAAUUGUUUUUCGUGAGGAAAGUAAGUUACGUACAUCUAGGAUGGCAUGAAAGUGAGUAAAUGAUAAGGUAGAUUUCAUUUAUGGUUUAACAAUUCCUUUAAUGCUGCUGUUGAACUAUGCUAUGCCAAAUGUUGGAGCCCACAGUAUGCCAUUGCUCAUGUGUGUUUUGAAUGACUCAUAAUUGGAAUGGAUAGGUAAUUGAAACACAAUGUUGCAAGUGUUGCUUCUGGGAAUAUUUUCUCUGGUGCGUCAUGGAGAAAUUCGAUUUUGGGCUGCUGCAGAAAGCCAUGGGGUGGAAUGACUGAAGAUCCCGACGUAAACUCCAGCACACUCUCCAACGUCAAUGGUGAACAUUCUCCAUCUAUAACACGGGUACAUAUUCAGGUUAACAACUGUACUGUUUGUCACUCCAAACAGGCUGAAAGUCUAGUGGUGGGUAUGUUUCACCUUUUCAGUAAAUAACUGUUGUAAAUAAAUUAUUCUUCAUGUAACUCAUUAAAAAUGUGGUUCAA